rfam:Thermoactinomyces vulgaris strain NRRL F-5595 F5595contig3.1, whole genome shotgun sequence.
UAAAAAAUAGGCUCGCGGAUAUUCCGCGAGCCCGAUGUAUCUUCCACAACAUCGGUGUCAGAUACUUAAUGGGAGAGGAGAAACCGGAGGAAGAGCUUAUGGGGAAACGUAAGUCUUCUCCGCGG